CGCACCUUGCGCUCCUUGGUAUUCCGAGGAGCAUGCCUGUUUGAGUGUCAUUAAAUCAUCAAUCCCUUAUGCUUUGUUGCGUGAGUUUGGAUUGGACUUGGGGACUUGCUGGCGUUCGCGUUGGCUUCCCUUAAAUGCAUUAGCUGGAGUUUGCUUGCGCAUAUAUGCAGUGUGAUAAUAUCUUCACUGUGUCGUGCUUGCUGAGCCUUGGCUUCUAACCGUCCUUCAGUUGGACAACACUUUGACAAUCUGACCUCAAAUCAGGUAGGACUACCCGCUGAACUUAA
rnacentral:misc_RNA from 1 species